CCUACGGGGGGCAGCAGUCGAGAAUCAUUCACAAUGGGGGAAACCCUGAUGGUGCGACGCCGCGUGGGGGAAUGAAGGUCUUCGGAUUGUAAACGCCUGUAAUGUGGGAGCAAAUGAAAAAGAGAGUAACACAAGAGGAAGAGAAGGCUAACACUGUGCCAGCAGUCGCGGAAAUACAGAGGUCUCAAGAGUUGUUCGGAAUCACUGGGCGUAAAGCGGGCGUAGGCAUUUUCGUAAGUAGUGUGUGAAAGGCGCGGGCUCAACCCUCGGACGGCUAAUGAUACUGCGAGGCUCGAGUCAGUGAGGGGGAACCGGAAUUCUCGGUGUAGCAGUGAAAUGCGUAGAUAUCGAGAGGAACACUCGUGGCGAAGGCAGGUUCCUGGACAUUAACUGACGCUGAGGCACGAAGGCCAGGGGAGCGAAAGGGAUUAGAUACCCGGGUAGUC
rnacentral:rRNA from 1 species